UUAGAGCCUCCUCCUGCAGAAGUGCCCCCCCACACACACACACCAUGUCCCCAGAUUAAGACCUGGGCCUUGUUUAGCCACUGCCCAGCAGCUGAUUCUGGGGCCUUCGCCAACCACAAGGAGAGGAAGCAGCUCAAAGUGACCUCAUUCUAAAUCAGGCCGGCUCCGUGGAUCCCUGUCAACACUCAGGAGCACUCCGGGCAGUGAGGAGCCAGCCCGGAGGAGAGGUACAUACACCCUGCUGUACAUACACCACACUGAGACAGCAGGAGCAUCUCCCCGGAAGCGAAGAAGCCAGCCACCCUGAGUUUCCUCCGGAAGGUGCACGGGGAGACAAAGCCUCUCGGUCCUGAGGAAAUGCCCAGAGGGUUCAGGGAGGCUGAUGUCAAGACUGUGGCCCGAGAGAGACAGCGAGAGAAAGAACACAAGCAGGCGGAGUGGGAGAGGGAGAAGCAGGC